rnacentral:misc_RNA from 1 species
GAUGAAGAACGUAGUGAAAUGAGAUAAGUAAUGUGAAUUGCAGAAUUCAGUGAAUCAUCGAAUCUUUGAACGCACAUUGCGCCCGCCAGUAUUCUGGCGGGCAUGCCUGUCCGAGCGUCAUUUCAACCCUCGAACCCCUCCGGGGGGUCGGCGUUGGGGAUCGGCCCUUUACCGGCCGGCCCCGAAAUACAGUGGCGGUCUCGCCGCAGCCUCUCCUGCGCAGUAGUUUGCACACUCGCACCGGGAGCGCGGCGCAGUCCAAUGCCGUAAAACACCCAACUUUCUGAAAUGUUGACCUCGGAUCAGGUAGGAAUACCCGCUGAACUUAAGCAUAUCAAUAAGCGGAGGA